rnacentral:rRNA from 1 species
UACAGAGGGGGCAAGCGUUGUUCGGAAUUACUGGGCGGAAAGGGCGCGUAGGCGGCCUGCUAAGUCGAACGUGAAAUCCCUGGGCUCAACCCAGGAACUGCGUCCGAUACUGGCUGGCUUGAAUUCGGGAGAGGGAUGCGGAAUUCCAGGUGUAGCGGUGAAAUGCGUAGAUAUCUGGAGGAACACCGGUGGCGAAGGCGGCAUCCUGGACCAACACUGACGCUGAGGAGCGAAAGCCAGGGGAGCAAACGGG